rnacentral:lncRNA from 1 species
GCCAGCACAUCCGUGCCAGCAUCCGGCUCCGGCUCCGCCUGGGCACACCGGGAGCCCCACCCAGCCUCCUCCUCCUGCACCCUUUCCCAGCCUCCUCAUCCUCUCCCAUCUCACCCCAUCACCCCCCCAAGCUGUCCUGGGGGCGCACACCCCCCCUCGGCACCCCGAGGUGCCCCCCGCACCCGGGGCAUGGCAGAAUCACCGGGUGCCGGGGUGCCCGCACGGGUGGCCUUGGGGUGGCACCCAGGGGGACGUGGGGCUGGGGAGGGUCUGGGAUGGGUUUGGGGUCUCAAACACCCCCAUAUCAAUGUGCACACUCUGUACCCACACCCCCCAGCCUCGUGCUGUGUGCGUGAGCUUGCACACCAGCGUGCGCCCCCCGUGCGACCCGUGCAAAGGUGCCAGCGCCCCACACGUCCCCCCCAGGGCCACGCUGUGGGGCUGCGUGGCCGCCACCAAGCCUUUCCCAGCCCUCCCCUGUCCCCACCCCGCCACGGCCCCACGCAGCCCGGCCUCUCCCCCCUGCACAAACACAUUCCUGCACACCGGCCGGGCUGCGGCCAGCCCAAGGCCACGUCAGCUCGGCGCUCUGCUCCACGCCGCUGGCACCGCGCAGAUCCAGUCGGGGAAACUUUGUUCAAAGACGGCAAGAGCCAGGCGUGGGGGUCCCUCAACCCAGGCGUGCAGAAAGGUAAGAGCCUCCCUGCCCCAUCCCCACAGCAGCAGGGACCCCUUGGGCACACGGAGCCCCCCGCACCCCGUAGCCAAGCCACCUUCCUCUCCGUGUGCCCCAUCCGUCAGGGCUUUCAAAGCUCAGGCCGGGAUGAUUGGCAUCCAAAACCAGAUGGGGAAGGAGCCGAGCCCCCUGACAGCCAUCCUGGUGCAUCAGCGGUGCUGCCAAAGCCCCAUGGGGCAGAGCACGGUGACCCCGGGUCCCCUCCCGGUGCUCCGGGAAUAUCUGAUGGAGAGGGGGCUGCCGGCCAGCCCUGGAGCUGAGGGGGCUCCUCCGGGCUUGGGAGAGCUGGUUCAGGGAGCAGGAGAACGGGGGUGCAACUGGGGAGGGGCUGCUGGGGCACGGGGUGGCUGGGAAGUGAUGGAUCCCCCGGGAGCUGGAGCCUUCCCCUGGGAAAAGCCAUCCCGGGACACGAGGAGCAGCCCGGAGCCUCCUGGGGGGCAUGGGGUUAUGUGGGGCCAGCACCCGUUCAGCUGCCUGGAGAGGGGAUAGGGCUCGGGGCUUGCUCUGAGCUGGAGAAGGGGAGCCCUGGGUUUGGGGUGGGAGCAGGGAGAGGCUGGGGCUGGGGGGGAGCCCUUUUACCUCCGCAUUGCGGACUCUGCCCAGCCAUGCUGUGAGAGCAGAGCCUUUUAGGAUCGCUGCAGGAUCCCCCGGGGAGCCGCAGAGGCAGGACUGAACCUUGCCACCCCACCCCACCCCAUCCCACCCUACCCAGCCGCACCCCCAGCACGGGGUGGGCGCACUGGAGAGGGGAGAAACACCGAGAGGUGCAGGGGGCGAAGGUGUGGGGUGGUUCCUGGUGAAGGCACAGCCUCAGGGAGUCCUGCAGCGGGGUGGCUGGGGGUGCGGUGACCCCAGAGGGGACAUUGGUGCCCGAUUCAGCCCCACAGAGGGUCCCGUCUCACCUGCACCUGCUGGGCAGCCGGGGCUUGGCUCGGGGCAGCAUUGCUCCCCGGUGUCAGCUCCCCCGGGGGGAUCCGUGCCCUUGGAGAUGCCCUAUGGCACCAGCCCAUCUGUGGGGACACGGGAUCAGGCCUCGCUGCGGCUUCUUUCGGCCUCCAGAGCCCCCGUGGGGUCCUCUCCUCCUGCCUCGAGGUGCAGGAUGCCGCAGGGAUGCUGCGGAGGAGACACAAGGAUGCCAACACCCGCGCCCCGAGCGCAGGAAAAACGCACCCGGGGGUGGGAAGGGGGCGACGUGGCAGGGGGCAAAGGGGCACGUCCCAUUCCCGUGCCCUGACGGGGAGCUUUGACCUCUCCGGGGCAGGCAGCGGGCAGAUC